UAUAUAAAUGAUAAUUAAAAUUUAAAGAAUUUUUGAAAAUAAUAAAAUAUAAAUUUUCAGUUAUACUACUCAGAAGAGACAAGCUCUGAUGAUGAAGAUAAAGGCGAACCAACAAAAAUUCAACGCCCACGCACACCAAUGGCAGCGACCCCUUCAACAAGCAACACGAAGAUCGAGGAUGACAUGGAGGCUAAAUACUGGAUCAAUAAGGCGGACGACUUGAACACUUACUCAACCAUAAUAGCAAUGAUGGAUGAGGAUAAGAACAAAAAGGAAAGUUCCGAAGUGGAAUUUGUGGGUUUUGAAUGGAAUGGGAAUAGUUUGGUGACAGUCUAUGAAGAAGCUUUAUCGGAUUCUAUCACCGGUCCUAUCGCUAAGGAAAUACUUUUGGAUACAUGGCCAGAAGGAAUAGAAGAUGAAUAUAUCUCGAUGGAAGAACGAGAGAGAAUAAAAGCUCGGAAAGACAUUGAUUAUAUGCUGAGUAAACUGAAUAUUGCGGAGGACGAUAUCUACCAUCUGAAAAAAAGGAUAGCUAGGUUUGAGGGUCAAGAAGGAACAGUGUUUCUCGCCUUAGAUUCACUAGCAAGGAGAAUGACAAAGUUAACAGGGAUGUUAACUCCGGACAACCUAACGAAACGUGAUCAGGUCAAGGAAGAUGAAAUUAUGCAAACUAAAAUCAAGGACAUUGCUCACGAGAUAAAAAUAAAAACACUAAAGACUUUGGUUAAAAAGCAAUCAGUUCGAAUAAAAGAAUUGGAAAAACAACUGGAAACUGUUCAAGAAGCAAAUUGGAAAAACGGGAAUAUUUGGAGAGAAAAUUAUAGUCGCCUGGAGGACGAACUGGAAUCUACUCGAACUGAACUUCACCAUCUAAUGUUCUCACGCAGAAGGGGUGAACAUGCCAAGAAAAACCCUCUCCUGGAGGAUUAAUAUUCGUAAUAAGGAUAUCGAAACCAAUGCAUUACCUGGAUUACGACGUAGAACACAGCAUUUAACCAGGAGAAACAAAUUAUGAAGGAUGACAAAGGUAAAAACAACUCUGGAAGAAUACUAUAAUUACAACACGCAGGAAGUAAAACCAACAUUAAAAGAGCUGGAACAUCUGAAACAAUUUAGGGACGAUCUUGAAUCUGAUUUUUUAGAAAAUAACGUUCGGUUUAAUAACCCUUCAGACCAAAUCCGACGAGAAAUCGAAAGAUUAAACGAAAAAAUAGCAGAAGAAAUCUCAAAUCAUCAAGAUCUGCAAAUUGUAAUUAUCAAAUACAAAUGAAAGUUAAUU
rnacentral:misc_RNA from 1 species